rnacentral:rRNA from 1 species
CCUACGGGGAGCAGCAGUGAGGAAUAUUGGUCAAUGGGCGGGAGCCUGAACCAGCCAAGUCGCGUGAGGGAAGACGGUCCUAUGGAUUGUAAACCUCUUUAGGCGGGGAGCAAUGCCGGGCACGCGUGCCCGGCGGGAGAGUACCCGCAGAAUAAGCAUCGGCUAACUCCGUGCCAGCAGCCGCGGUAAUACGGAGGAUGCGAGCGUUAUCCGGAUUUAUUGGGUUUAAAGGGUGCGUAGGCGGAUUUUAAAGUCAGCGGUAAAUUGUUCGGGCUCAACCCGGGCCGGCCGUUGAUACUGGGGAUCUUGAGUGGGCGAGAGGUAGGCGGAAUGCGUGGUGUAGCGGUGAAAUGCAUAGAUAUCACGCAGAACUCCGAUUGCGAAGGCAGCAUACCGGCGCCCGACUGACGCUGAGGCACGAAAGCGUGGGGAUCGAACAGGAUUAGAUACCCCAGUAGUC